rnacentral:rRNA from 1 species
CAGUCGCCGCGGUAAUACGUAGAUGGCAAGCGUUGUCUGGAAUUAUUGGGCGUAAAGGGCUCGCAGGCGGUUUCUUAAGUAAGAUGUGAAAGCCCCCGGCUCAACCGGGGAGGGUCAUUGGAAACUGGGAAACUUGAGUGCAGAAGAGGAGAGUGGAAUUCCACGUGUAGCGGUGAAAUGCGUAGAGAUGUGGAGGAACACCAGUGGCGAAGGCGACUCUCUGGUCUGUAACUGACGCUGAGGAGCGAAAGCGUGGGGAGCGAACAGGAUUAGAUACCCGCGUAGUCCCUGUCUCUUAUAC